rnacentral:rRNA from 1 species
CAGCUACACAUGCAGUCGAGCGGUAGCACAGAGAGCUUGCUCUCGGGUGACGAGCGGCGGACGGGUGAGUAAUGUCUGGGAAACUGCCUGAUGGAGGGGGAUAACUACUGGAAACGGUAGCUAAUACCGCAUAACGUCGCAAGACCAAAGUGGGGGACCUUCGGGCCUCAUGCCAUCAGAUGUGCCCAGAUGGGAUUAGCUAGUAGGUGGGGUAACGGCUCACCUAGGCGACGAUCCCUAGCUGGUCUGAGAGGAUGACCAGCCACACUGGAACUGAGACACGGUCCAGACUCCUACGGGAGGCAGCAGUGGGGAAUAUUGCACAAUGGGCGCAAGCCUGAUGCAGCCAUGCCGCGUGUGUGAAGAAGGCCUUCGGGUUGUAAAGCACUUUCAGCGGGGAGGAAGGCGUUGAGGUUAAUAACCUUGUCGAUUGACGUUACCCGCAGAAGAAGCACCGGCUAACUCCGUGCCAGCAGCCGCGGUAAUACGGAGGGUGCAAGCGUUAAUCGGAAUUACUGGGCGUAAAGCGCACGCAGGCGGUCUGUCAAGUCGGAUGUGAAAUCCCCGGGCUCAACCUGGGAACUGCAUUCGAAACUGGCAGGCUAGAGUCUUGUAGAGGGGGGUAGAAUUCCAGGUGUAGCGGUGAAAUGCGUAGAGAUCUGGAGGAAUACCGGUGGCGAAGGCGGCCCCCUGGACAAAGACUGACGCUCAGGUGCGAAAGCGUGGGGAGCAAACAGGAUUAGAUACCCUGGUAGUCCACGCCGUAAACGAUGUCGAUUUGGAGGUUGUGCCCUUGAGGCGUGGCUUCCGGAGCUAACGCGUUAAAUCGACCGCCUGGGGAGUACGGCCGCAAGGUUAAAACUCAAAUGAAUUGACGGGGGCCCGCACAAGCGGUGGAGCAUGUGGUUUAAUUCGAUGCAACGCGAAGAACCUUACCUGGUCUUGACAUCCACAGAACUUUCCAGAGAUGGAUUGGUGCCUUCGGGAACUGUGAGACAGGUGCUGCAUGGCUGUCGUCAGCUCGUGUUGUGAAAUGUUGGGUUAAGUCCCGCAACGAGCGCAACCCUUAUCCUUUGUUGCCAGCGGUCCGGCCGGGAACUCAAAGGAGACUGCCAGUGAUAAACUGGAGGAAGGUGGGGAUGACGUCAAGUCAUCAUGGCCCUUACGACCAGGGCUACACACGUGCUACAAUGGCAUAUACAAAGAGAAGCGACCUCGCGAGAGCAAGCGGACCUCAUAAAGUAUGUCGUAGUCCGGAUUGGAGUCUGCAACUCGACUCCAUGAAGUCGGAAUCGCUAGUAAUCGUAGAUCAGAAUGCUACGGUGAAUACGUUCCCGGGCCUUGUACACACCGCCCGUCACACCAUGGGAGUGGGUUGCAAAAGAAGUAGGUAGCUUAACCUUCGGGAGGGCGCUACCACUUGGAU